UACGUAGGUGGCGAGCGUUGUCCGGAUUUACUGGGCGUAAAGAGCGCGCAGGCGGUCGAUUUAGUCGUGUGUGAAAGCCCCCGGCUCAACUGGGGAGGGUCACGCGAUACUGAUCGACUCGAAGGCAGGAGAGGGUAGUGGAAUUCCCGGUGUAGUGGUGAAAUGCGUAGAUAUCGGGAGGAACACCAGUGGCGAAGGCGAGUCCCUGGACAACACCUGACACUGAGGCACGAAAGCUAGGGGAGCAAACAGG
rnacentral:rRNA from 1 species